rnacentral:rRNA from 1 species
GAUGAACGCUGGCGGCGUGCCUAAUACAUGCAAGUCGAGCGAACGGACGAGAAGCUUGCUUCUCUGAUGUUAGCGGCGGACGGGUGAGUAACACGUGGAUAACCUACCUAUAAGACUGGGAUAACUUCGGGAAACCGGAGCUAAUACCGGAUAAUAUUUUGAACCGCAUGGUUCAAAAGUGAAAGACGGUCUUGCUGUCACUUAUAGAUGGAUCCGCGCUGCAUUAGCUAGUUGGUAAGGUAACGGCUUACCAAGGCAACGAUCCAUAGCCGACCUGAGAGGGUGAUCGGCCACACUGGAACUGAACCACGGUCCAAACUCCUACGGGAGGCAGCAGUAGGGAAUCUUCCGCAAUGGGCGAAAGCCUGACGGAGCAACGCCGCGUGAGUGAUGAAGGUCUUCGGAUCGUAAAACUCUGUUAUUAGGGAAGAACAUAUGUGUAAGUAACUGUGCACAUCUUGACGGUACCUAAUCAGAAAGCCACGGCUAACUACGUG